rnacentral:rRNA from 1 species
UUUAAAGUCUAACCUGCCCAAUGAGGAUUUGAAUGGCCGCGGUAUUUUGACCGUGCAAAGGUAGCAUAAUCAUUAGUUUUUUAAUUGAAAGCUGGAAUGAACGGUUGGACGAGAAAACAACUGUCUCAAUUUAAUUUAAUUAGAAUUUUAUUUAUAAGUAAAAAAGCUUAUAUAAUUUUAAAAGACGAGAAGACCCUAUAGAGUUUUAUAUUUAUAUAUUUAUAUUAUUUUUAGUAUAUUUUAAUAUUAUAAAUAUAUAAAUAUUUUAUUGGGGCGAUAGAAAAAUUAAAUUAACUUUUUUUAUAUUUAUACAUUGAUAUAUGAUUAAAUGAUCCAAUAUUUUUGAUUAUAAGAUUAAAUUACCUUAGGGAUAACAGCGUAAUUUUUUUUUAGAGUUCUUAUCGAAAAAAGAGUUUGCGACCUCGAUGUUGGAUUAAAAUUAACUUUUGGUGUAGGAGCUAAAAGGUUAGGUCUGUUCGACCUUUAAAAUUUUACAUGAUCUGAGUUUAAACCGGUGUGAGCCAGGUUGGUUUCUAUCUUUAAAUUAAGUAAAUAUUUUAGUACGAAAGGAUCAAAUAUUUAUAAUAAUUAUUUAUUAUUGAAUAUUAUUA